UUACGGGAGGCAGCAGUGAGGAAUUUUCUGCAAUGGGCGAAAGCCUGACAGAGCAAUACCGCGUGAGGGAUGAAGGCCUACGGGUUGUAAACCUCUUUUCUCAAGGAGGAAGAUAUGACGUUACUUGAGGAAUAAGCAUCGGCUAACCCUGUACCAGCAGCCGCGGUAAUACAGGGGAUGCGAGUGUUAUCCGGAAUCAUUGGGCGUAAAGCGUCUGCAGGUUGACUUUUAAGUCUUUUGUUAAAGCUCUGGGCUUAACCUAGAAUCUGCAAAGGAAACUAUCUGUCUUGAGUAUGGUAGAGGUAAAGGGAAUUUCCAGUGGAGCGGUGAAAUGCUUAGAUAUUGGAAAGAACACCAACAGCGAAGGCACUUUACUGGGCCAGUACUGACACUGAGAGACGAAAGCUAGGGGAGCAAACGGGAUUAGAUACCCCGGUAGU
rnacentral:rRNA from 1 species